AGCCUUUCACCCUAGAGCGGUGUCCAGGGACCAGAGACCGGGAGCCGAAAAAUCGGCAGAGAGGUACCGAAGCAUUAGGGAAAAGAUUACCAGAGAGCGGGGAGGGUUUCCUGGCGAAACGCGGAGGCUGAGCAGAUGGAGGAACAAUGCCUCCUCCGCGAGAAAACCCUCGCUUGAGGCCGGGGCGGAGCGCGGAGGAGCUGCCUCCAGCCUCGGGCUCUCCCUUCCGGGCCCUCCGGCUCGUUCUGGGGCCGGUGCAGCCUCGUAGUUUGACAGGGCUAGGAAAGUUGCUCUUCCCCACAUUUCCUGCGAAGUGGUUUUCAGUUCUGCGUGGUUCCAGUCAAGAUGUCACUCCGUAGAUCCCCUGCGAUGAGCAGCUAAUAGAUUAUGCAUUAUGGGGCAGUCGAGUCCCCGGGCAGAACAGAGAGGGAGUCCAAACAUUUCCAACCUUCUCCUUCGGCUCCUGACCGGCCAGCCCAAUGCUUUGUUGUCUGGUCAGCAUGUGAAACAUAUACCCUCUGAGCACCUGUACUCUACGGCACUCUUCUCGGAGCUUGGAAUACACCAGUAUAUUUUAACCCCGCAUCCCCACACUGUGAAGCCUAAUGUCUUUUUUAACUACUUAAUGAUCUCCUGGCCCUGGGCUAAUUAAGCACCAUUUGAAGAAUCAUAUUGUUGUGCACGUGAUGUGGUGUUUUAGUAAACUGGCUCCUGAGGGGGAAAAACCUUUAAAAAUGAAAAGCCAUAAUGUACUAUUGGAUUAUUUUCUUGGUGUAAAUAUUAUACAAUGGCCAGUUUCUAGCUACAGCAUCAUACCACGUACUUGAGUUGGGCAUGUGCAGAAUGGCCUCCUCGGAGCCAGUACAGCCAGCCUUCAGCAUGGUCCUGGCAUGUCUUGUUUUGUGUUCUGAGUUUAUUGAUAUACUUCUAACUUGACUUCAUUCAUCUGUACAGUGGAGAAACUAUUUUGCAAUUAUUAUAGAGAUGGAGUUUACUGCUGAAUAGUUUUGGUGGAAUCAAAAGCAGGAGGAUGCAAGCUAUCAAAAAGAUCACCUUAAUCAUAGAUCUUUAUAUGUGAAAAUAAUUUUAAAUUUAGAUGUGAAAAACAACAGACAAUUAAAAAAUAAACUCACAGAUGGUAUACA
rnacentral:lncRNA from 1 species